rfam:Dipodomys ordii contig_28749, whole genome shotgun sequence.
GGUGGCUCAGUGGUAGAAUGCUUGCCUUGCAAGCAUGAGGCCCUGGGUUCGAUUCCUCAGCACCA